GAACUUGCGGCAGCCGCGGCCCCCAGCACCGACCCCUCCCCGCGGGCGCUGCGGCGGCGCCGGGUGUAAGCACCUCCCGGCCCUGAGUCUGCCGGAGGGACCGGCCGCGGCAGCCCCGGCUCUGCCCGCCCGGGCGUGGCGUGCGGACCCGCGGUAACCGCCAGCUGCCGAUAACGACUGAAAAAAUCCUUGAGAAACAGCUCCCUGCUGACGGGAGAAAGUGGUCCGUGACCCCCCGGGCUCCCGCGGCUCCGUGCCAGGCAGCCGUGGCUCCUGGAGCGUUCCCCGCCCGCACGGAUGCAGGCUGGGGCUUGGGGGACCCGAGGCGAAACCCGGGUUUAUUGCGGCGUUUUGGUAAAGAGCUGCCCGAGGCCUCCCCGGCAAGGAGGGACGUGGAGCUUGCAGGGCUUUAUGUAAGGAACUUUGCCGUGCAUCAGGCCCGGCGCUUUCAGGGGACAUCAUCAUCAUCAUUAUGCAAGUCCUGGUGUUACAGGAUGGAAGCCUUUGGAGCAGGCUGCUCCGUUGGGAAGUAGAGGAGAAGAAGGUGAUCAAAGGUGGUGUCUGCUGAAGCACCAAGCAUCACACGCCGGGCUCCACCGGCAUUUCCGCUGCAGUUAGACCUGGCACGGGAAAGUUGGUACCUGCGAAGGACUACAGAUGGCUGCGGGCUGCCGAGGGUGUGUGGUCAAGAGAAUGCAGAGCCUCUGCAGCCAUCUCCCUCUGGCAGACGCGGGGCUUUUGGUGUCAGUAGCAGAACGCAGAUUUCUUUGGAUAACCUCAGUUUGUAAACCUGCUUGUUGCAGCCAUUCCUAGUUCUGGUAGCUGAUGGCAGCUCCUUCUCCCCUCUGCAGCCUAAGGACACUGAGCUCCUUGCCUUAUGCCUUUGCACGAAGCUGCCCCCUUCCAGCCGCCUCUCACCUCAGAGGCACUCAGCUCUGCCUUUGGAUGGGUGUUCGACGGAGGGAUGUGGUCACCAUUUUGUGAUCUGCAAGUCUCUGGCUAAGGCAGAGCUGAUUAAAAAGAUAAACCAGCUUUGCUGCCAAUUAACCCUGAGCGUGCUAACCAGCUCUCCUGCUGUCUCUGGAGGUCACUGUGCCUGUUGGCUCCGAAGAGUGAUGCAACAGUCACAACAAGCUCUGCUCAGUGCCAAUUACCUUUCUGCUUGUGUGUAAUUUGGGCAAAUUGAUGUUAUUGCACCCUGCAGUUAAGCAGAUGAAAUCCUCCUCUA